CAGUCGCCGCGGUAAUACGAAGGGGGCUAGCGUUGCUCGGAAUGACUGGGCGUAAAGGGCGCGUAGGCGGCUUGCACAGUCAGAUGUGAAAUUCCUGGGCUUAACCUGGGGGCUGCAUUUGAUACGUGUGGGCUAGAGUGUGAAAGAGGGUCGUGGAAUUCCCAGUGUAGAGGUGAAAUUCGUAGAUAUUGGGAAGAACACCGGUGGCGAAAGCGGCGACCUGGUUCAUGACUGACGCUGAGGCGCGAAAGCGUGGGGAGCAAACAGGAUUAGAUACCCCUGUAGUCCCUGUCUCUUAUAC
rnacentral:rRNA from 1 species